AUCUAUAUAAUAUAAAAGUAUAUUU
rnacentral:tRNA from 1 species